AUAGAAUUACACAGAGGAAGCCAGUCCACCGGCAAGGAAUUCCCAAAUAGAACGCAAUCCUCGAGUAAUCAGCAAGUGAAAAAAAUGAAAACAUCUCUCCAGGAAAAGGUGCAGACAGCUCAACUGGAAUGGUUCCAAGGACAAAACAAAAAAGUUGAGCUGGAGAUGGAGCUUUUGAGGGAAAAGAUCGCAACGUCUAGGGAGAAAAGGAAGCUGUUUAAAGCUUUGCAGACAGAGUUGAAGGGGAAAGAUGACAUGGACAUAAUUCCAUUAGUUUGUGACGAAUAGGAUUGGACCAUAGCAGAUAAGAAACAGAGGGAGAUCAUCAGAUCUGAAAAUAAAACUGUGUUAAAAAGAUGACACUAUUCAUUCUGAGUAUUAAUAAUGUUUUAAUUGAUCUCAUAUGAUAAACAUAUUGAAUUCAAAGGUUUGAAAUAUACAUUAUAACAGUGUGAUAUACUGUUGUAAUAAUAAUUAUAUUCAUUUUUUUUUUAUCUUUCAAA